AUUGAACGCUGGCGGCAGGCCUAACACAUGCAAGUCGAGCGGAUGAAGGGAGCUUGCUCCUGGAUUCAGCGGCGGACGGGUGAGUAAUGCCUAGGAAUCUGCCUGGUAGUGGGGGAUAACGUCCGGAAACGGGCGCUAAUACCGCAUACGUCCUGAGGGAGAAAGUGGGGGAUCUUCGGACCUCACGCUAUCAGAUGAGCCUAGGUCGGAUUAGCUAGUUGGUGGGGUAAAGGCCUACCAAGGCGACGAUCCGUAACUGGUCUGAGAGGAUGAUCAGUCACACUGGAACUGAGACACGGUCCAGACUCCUACGGGAGGCAGCAGUAGGGAAUAUUGGGCAAAGGGCGAAAGCCUGAUCCAGCCAUGCCGCGUGUGUGAAGAAGGUCUUCGGAUUGUAAAGCACUUUAAGUUGGGAGGAACGGCAGUAAGUUAAUACCUUGCUGUUUUGACGUUACCAACAGAAUAAGCACCGGCUAACUUCGUG
rnacentral:rRNA from 1 species